rnacentral:lncRNA from 1 species
AAAUUGAUCAUGAAACAUGUAACUACGGGUACACAAGGGGGAACGGGACGACUAAGAACACAUUUGAGAAAGUGUAAUAAAGAAUUUGCUCGCCUAGAUGAUAUAGAAAGGGCUAAUAGAAAUGGAAUACCUCAACCUGAAAAUUCUAUGGGAGCUGGAGGUUCUAAUAUGGUUCAAAGUGUAUUAAAUAUGACUAACCCGGCUAGCCGAAGCACACAC